rnacentral:rRNA from 1 species
AACGAACGCUGGCGGCAGGCCUAACACAUGCAAGUCGAGCGAGGACUUCGGUUCUAGCGGCGGACGGGGGAGUAACGCGUGGGAAUGUGCCCUUCUCUACGGAAUAGCCCUGGGAAACUGGGAGUAAUACCGUAUACGCCCUAUUGGGGAAAGAUUUAUCGGAGAAGGAUCAGCCCGCGUUGGAUUAGGUAGUUGGUGGGGUAAUGGCCUACCAAGCCGACGAUCCAUAGCUGGUUUGAGAGGAUGAUCAGCCACACUGGGACUGAGACACGGCCCAGACUCCUACGGGAGGGAGCAGUGGGGAAUCUUAGACAAUGGGGGCAACCCUGAUCUCGCCAUGCCGGGUGAGUGAUGAAGGCCUUAGGGUUGUAAAGCUCUUUCAGCUGGGAAGAUAAUGACGGUACCAGCAGAAGAAGCACCGGCUAACUCCGUG